AUUCUGUGAGUUCAGGGCUGCCUCCUUUGACUGUUAAGGAGCAGCCCAGCAGGUUAAUAAACUUGCUUGACUUAGGUCUACUCAUCCUUUCUCUCGGCUAGCCUUACAGUAAUAUUGCCAGUAAUAAGAAGGCUACAAAUCAGCUAAGAAAACAAGUGGUCAGAUGGUAAUGAUUUCAAAAUUGUGUUUGUUAUAUAAAAACAUAUAUAGAAUUAACUUCUGACAACAAAAUGGUAAUAAACUUCAAAAUGACUGAAACAGAAAUUAUGCCUCCUCCCAGCAAAACUGAUGCCAGUAGCAAAUCUUGAAACGAAUUACAAAAUAAGUUUACAAAAUAAACUUUCUAGAGGGAAUUUGUAAUAUUCUGUUUAAAUACACCACUCUUACUGGUGAUACAAUGAUUUCUUCUUUAAUGAUUAAAAAAAUUGUCUCUUAGGGAAAAAAAUGGAUCUUGUAACAGCACUUUUUAAAAAGUCACGAUACUCACAGGCUCUUAAGAAUCACUACUGCCAAAAAAAAAAAAAUCUGAAUUCCUGCUCUGCCUCUGCCUCUCCCCUCUCCCCU
rnacentral:lncRNA from 10 species